UUCCAGAAAAAUUCAGCCCCUCUCCCUUCCUUUCUACAUAAUUAAAUUGAGGGAUUUCAUGGCAAAUUGAAGGAAAAAGAUGGAGGUCACAAUAGCCAUGGCAACUCACGGCCAUGGCUGCACUUGAAGAGGUCACAUGCUUCCUUUAAGAGUUUUGCUUCUAAGAUUUUGGAGAGUUUGGGACUUGAAUUUGGAGUAGCGUAAGAAGCGGAAACGGUACUCCCAGGUGAGUUGAAGACAGUAUAGAAGAUGUUCCAGUGCAGAUGGCAAGCUCCAUUUGUUCCCGGAGUGCUGCCGAGUCAGAGUUGGUAUGUUAUGCUUUCUGGAUUACGUUAGAGACUUUGCAGACAGCGUCGUGGGUAUUGGUUGUCAGUCUGUAAGUGGCUCCGUCAGCCGAAAUGUCGGUCUGUGUUAUGUACUGAAUUGUGUAUGAUUAUAGAUUUGUUAUGCUUGGAAGCUACGUGGAAGAAUAUUUCUGAAAAAAAAAUUACGAUG